rnacentral:rRNA from 1 species
GACGAACGCUGGCGGCGUGCUUAACACAUGCAAGUCGGACGGUAAGGCCCUUCGGGGUACACGAGUGGCGAACGGGUGAGUAACACGUGGGUGAUCUGCCCUGCACUUCGGGAUAAGCCUGGGAAACUGGGUCUAAUACCGGAUAGGACCACUGCCUGCAUGGGUGGUGGUGGAAAGCUUUUGCGGUGUGGGAUGGGCCCGCGGCCUAUCAGCUUGUUGGUGGGGUGAUGGCCUACCAAGGCGACGACGGGUAGCCGGCCGGAGGGGGUGACCGGCAGCACUGGGACGGAGAUACGGCCCAGACUCCGACAGGAGGCAGCAGUGGGGAAGAUUGCACAAGGGGCGCAAGCCUGAUGCGGCGACGCCGCGUGAGGGAUGACGGCCUUCGGGUUGUAAACCUCUUUCAGCACCGACGAAGCGCAAGUGACGGUAGGUGCAGAAGAAGGACCGGCCAACUACGUGCCAGCCGCCGCCGUAA